rnacentral:RNase_P_RNA from 1 species
AGUGCCAGGUAACGCCUGGGAGGCGCGAGCCUACGGAAAGUGCAGCAGAAAGCAAACCGCCUAAGCGCGCAAGCGCCGGUAAGGGUGAAAAGGUGCGGUAAGAGCGCACCGCGCCGCUGGCAACAGCGGUGGCAGGGUAAACCCCACCCGGAGCAAGACCAAAUAGGGACCCAUGGGCGUGGCCCGCGCCGGGUCCGGGUAGGUCGCUUGAGGCCCGUGGCGACGCGGGUCCCAGAUGAAUGGCUGUCCACGACAGAACCCGGCUUAUCGACCGAUCCACCUU